CACUAAACUGUUGGGGGUGGAUUUACAUCCUCCCUCAAGGCCCAUUAGACAAUAAACUAGACCCAUUUUACUAUGAAGUCCUAGCUUCUUCUUUGUAUAAAUAGAGAUACAACUCUCUUUUUCAAGGAGAUCUUCUUUCCCAUUUUAGACCUAGAACACUUCUUACAAAGGGUUUAUAGAUUAUUAGAUUUAUUUACACUUGUAAUCCUACAUGUAAUACAAUCUUAAAUCAAUAAACUCUUUUGAUGUUCAUUUCACAUUUGAUUCUUUUAUGAUUUCUCCUAAACCUCAAGAAUCUAAGCUUUUAUCUUUAGAUUCUUUAUUUGAUUGAUUCCAACAAACAUCACAAAGAUAAACACCAUUUUUGGAUCAAACAAUUGGCGCUAGAAGGAGGGGGUUCAAGGAAAAAUAUCUUGAAAUCUAUCAAACUUGAGAGAAAAAGAAAAAAAAAAAAAUCUACAACGUCGUCUUGUUUCUUAGAAGUGACGAGUUUGACCAAUCUGAAAGUUUCAAACUUUGGAGGAUCUUUGGUAACAUCAACAGCCGAGCUUUAUGAGAAAGCUUCUCAGACCACUCGCUGGAUGUUUGGUGAAAGCUGGAGAUGGAGAUCUCAGACCGCUUCUCCCUCGUGCUCUCCUUGUCGGCGUCGAAGUCAGAUGCGUGGAGACGGCGAAGCGAGGAGAUGAUCAGUUCAUCGUCACUGCUUUUGGACCGUGGUCGUCGAGAUCUUCUAGACUUCUGUGACAGCGUCCACACCAUAAGAAACAAGACGAACGGACAGAGGAUCGGGAACAUGAACCUUCGUUGUUGCUUCAUAGCUUCUUGCCAACACACGGGUUUGGUUCUACGGAGCAAGAGAUAUGGGUCAAGGUUCGGAGCUUUCUUCAACCAACGAAAAAGCUUUGCUUUUGAUGUACACACCAAAGAGCCAAAGACCCUGACAGAGCUUGUCGUCUCGAUCCUCAUAGACGGCGCCGGUGAAGCUCGCCGUCUCAAUCCACCGGUGAAGCUUCCGUCUCAAUCCGCCGGUGAAGCUUUCGUCUCGAUCCGCCGGUGAAGCUCGCCGUCUCGUACUUCCACUCUUCAAGAUCGUAACAAACCUGUAAAUUGAUCUUAAGAAACUCACGGCCACGAUGAAAGAAGAUGAGUCUCAUAAAGCUUACUACUUUGAUUGAAGUAUCUGCUAAAGACAACAGAUUUUGUAAUUACCUCAACACAAGCUUGCCAUCUUUACGACAGUUGUUCUGUUCCUCCUCUCCUUUUGACAUUAAGCUGGGGGACUUGAUCAGCGAGAAUGGCGACAAGAUUCGAGGAGAACAAGAAGAAGCGCGGUCACUUUAGUGCUGGACACGGUCGCAUCGGGAAGCAUCGAUCUCAGCAACUCCCUCUCGGAUGGUUCAUGCCGGCGCGGAAACCUCUACGGAAGACAAGCUUGGCUUCGCUAGGAUCCUGGUAGAGAGUGUUCAUGUCUCUUGAACUCUCUGUUCCUGUCUCUCUCUCUCUCUAUGCUGCCAGCUCGCGGUUUUAGAGAUUUGGCUCCGUUCAUUACCGGUUCUCUGUUUCCUUUGCUCUGCUAGAGCUGCUAGUGAGAGCACUAGGUCUAGUUAUUACAGCCUUCACAUGGUUCAGGAAAGCUAGAGCUGAGAUGGGAGAGUAACAUCACUUUCUGGAAAAGCUUGGGACUUUAUCUUGGCAAAACUCAAGUCUCUAGCUCGCCGUCUCGUGCUCGCCAUCUCGUGCUCGUACCAUAACUCCACCAUCUUAUCCAAGAAGGAAACAGCUUCAGCAUCUCCCAAAGAAGAAAACAGAGGAACUUUGGAUAGACUACGACAAGUUCGGUCUCUCUUUAUGCUCAUCUCAUGAUCAUCAACACCAUCAACGCGCAUCCCCGAGCUUGACGUUGUCAAGAUCACGUCUUAGCCUCUUCGUUGGAUUCAGAUCACGUUAUCUUGGCAUUGAUUGGAGCUCCAGACUUGUUCUCAACAAACUCAAGGCUUGUUCCCCGCAAAGAUCAAAACGAUCCAUUGAGGCAGAGCUCACCACCAGAAGGCUGCUUGCGAGAUGUUGGAUCCUGCAGAGAUGAGGACGUGACAUUGGCUUGUCGACUAGAAGGCUCAAUCUUUCACACUCCAUCUGUGGAAAGAGCUCAUCAUGAGAUCAUCCUUCUUCAGCGACUAGCAGCAACUACUUGUCCUCAAAGAUAAGUAUUCUAUAAUCUUGAUUACUUUAUUGGUUGCAACCUGUGCAUGCUGUUUAGUUAUAAAUAAAUUACUAACAUCGUAUGCAAGAGCUGAGCAAUUAUCUGAUCAUCAUCAUUGCUUGCUUAUCAAUUACACAAAACUUUGAUUAUCUCUUUUGAAUAAACUUGAUCGGAUGAUAAUCAUCAUAUUUUUCUUUGUGCGCCAGGAUCAAUUGCAAGGCAGACAUAUGACGAGCUCAGACUCCGGUACAAGCUCUAGCUGACGUGAUCAAGGUCCGCACAACUCCUGCUGACUUCAUCGUCGCCAAUCACGAGCUCACCACUGCCCUCGCAACUCCACAGCGCGUUCAUCAACGUUAUCAUAGCCUGACAAGCAUACACGCCAAUAACUUGCUCGGCACACACGAUCUCAACACGAGACUUCGGGUCGGCAAUAGUUCGGUAAACAUGUAUUUUAGGCACGAGUUUAAAUUGAACUUGCUUUUUAUUAGGCACGAGUUUGUGGUCGACUCGCUUAUUGUUAGACACGAGUUUACAGAAACUCAUCUUUGGCUAGGCAUGAGUUUACAGAAGCUCUCCUUCUACUAGGCACGAGCUCUCAGUAAACUCGCCUCUGUCUUAGCAUGAGUCAAGUAAACUCGUCUUUCGCUAAGCACGAGUUUAAAGCAAACUCGCUUAUUACUAAGCACAAGUUCGAAAUAAACUCGCCUAAACCGUCAUAGGCAUGAAUAUGUCUAGUUCAUUGUCUAAUAAACCCUAUUCAUAAAGUUCG